rnacentral:lncRNA from 1 species
CCACACCAUCGCUGGAAUUAUAAAAAUACCAAGAAAAUUUCUGUUGAUAAUGGAUUAAUGGAAUCAUAGACUUUUAGAGUUGAACAUUUGAGUUUAUCCAGUGCCUGGUUCCAGAUGAGGUGAACAGAGGCUCAGAGAGCCAAGAUACCCACCUUGGAGCCCAAGCUGAGGGGUAUUUUCGAUGUGUAUCUUGUGGAACCAGUCCUGCCAAUCUCAUCCAGUGACUAAAAAUGCCUAACCUCCUGGGAAUGGAGGUCAAGCAAGUUUCAGCCUCAUUUUACACAACACCUAUUCAAGAUGGAGGUGCUCUGGUUCAAAUCACUCUGACAAGCAGUCACUACCCCUGCCCCAAAGCCAAGCAUUGUAGGGAAUCUUAUCUGGUAACAAAGAGUUGAUCUGAAGUGAUGUUUGAAAAUGAGUGGGGUGGUUGUUUGUUGAAUCAGUGAGACAAUGAGUAGGGAAUGAGGGAGACUGUCAUUUAAUUGGUAAAGACCAGAGGUGCUAAUUGUUCUGCAAUUCCAUAGCAUUUCACUCAGCAUUCCACAAAAUCAAGCAUGCUCCCUCCCGAAAUAUUCACAUCGCCCCACUGAGAAACUGCCCCAGAGCACCCUGGGGAAGCUCAGCUUUGCAUUCCCACUUCUAUUAGACAGCCUUUGUGACACACACACCUUGUCCCUGUGAACAUGGUGAAUGGAAAUUAUCUUCUCCACAUUAACUUUGAAUACAUGGGCCAAGGAAAUGGCCCUAGGUGUAUACCAGUCCUGCUUCUUUCUCACUCCUUGGCUAGAGAAAGAAAGAAUUUAGCAAAUUCAUCAUUAGUCAAGAAUAAGGGGCUGCAUUUUGUUUUAAAAAUCCUCUCCUUCCAUUUUCAAUUCUAGUACAGGCCAUAUCAGAAUUAUAAUUAAUGAAAUAAAUGUUAAUUCAAAUUAUCUAUAUUUAAUGAGUUCAUGAUUCAUUAACUUGAAAAGAAUCCAUUUGUUUGCAUAAAAUGAAUCUCAAUGAUGGAACUAUAUAAUUAUUUAGUAUGAAUGAUGAUAGUGCACUUAAUAAAAUUAGAACAAUUUUUUGGUUAAUGUUACAGAUUAGG